rnacentral:rRNA from 1 species
UACGUAGGGUGCGAGCGUUAAUCGGAAUUACUGGGCGUAAAGCGUGCGCAGGCGGUUCGUUGUGUCGGCGGUGAAAGCCCCGGGCUCAACCUGGGAAUGGCCGUUGAAACUGGCGAACUGGAGUGUGGCAGAGGGGGGUGGGAUUCCGCGUGUAGCAGUGAAAUGCGUAGAGAUGCGGAGGAACACCGAUGGCGAAGGCAGCCCCCUGGGCUAACACUGACGCUCAGGCACGAAAGCGUGGGGAGCAAACAGG